rnacentral:misc_RNA from 1 species
GAUGAAGAACGUAGCGAAAUGCGAUAAGUAAUGUGAAUUGCAGAAUUCAGUGAAUCAUCGAAUCUUUGAACGCACAUUGCGCCCCCUGGUAUUCCGGGGGGCAUGCCUGUUCGAGCGUCAUUUCACCACUCAAGCCUCGCUUGGUAUUGGGCAACGCGGUCCGCCGCGUGCCUCAAAUCGACCGGCUGGGUCUUCUGUCCCCUAAGCGUUGUGGAAACUAUUCGCUAAAGGGUGUUCGGGAGGCUACGCCGUAAAACAACCCCAUUUCUAAGGUUGACCUAGGAUCAGGUAGGGAUACCCGCUGAACUUAAGCAUAUCAAUAAGCGGAGGA